UUGAGUUCUCGCCGUGCAUCCCGCUUGUCUCUCCGGAGCUGCCUCUCGAUCUCCGCGUUGAUCCUUUUGGCUUCUUUCGCCUCUUCGCUCAGGCAACACGCCAUGAUGGAGUCGAGAGUCAUGUAGCCGACUGACAGGGCGGACGGUUUCCAAUGGCCUUGUUCCGUAUUCCAGCGACCAGAACAUCUGCGGAUCAACAAGAGGGCACUUCUUGUCCGAAUUCAAAUCUGUCCCGAAACACUCAGAUCAAGUGCACUCAAAAUGACAAAAUGUUCAUAAAUAAACUCGCGCUUUCAUAUGUUUGAAUUUCCCAUAUUGAUAUUGAAUCAUUAAGACCAUUGUAUAAUUUCAUCUACAAGAUUCAAUGAUACAAACGCAUUUUUAACACAAAGUAAUGGAUACUGUUGCUGUGUUCCUUUCGUCAUUUUUAUGCUUUGGGGAAGACGCUACAACAUUGAAAGGCUACAGUAACGAUAACCUCUGACUUUAACAUUGUGAUUACGAAAACAAAACUCAAGUUAUUCACUGUCUCAGCACUGAAACAGGAAAGAACCAUAAAUGCAAUAGAAUUUUAAAAAAUGAAUCAAAUGCAACAAGUAUCAACAUCUGUGAACAAUGUAAAUCAACAAAAGGCUAAAACAGCUAAACAACAAUGUAUUGCAGUCAAACAGGUGGCAAGAGAGAGGACACGUCUCCCACAUCCUACAUAGCCAUAAUAUACUGUCUCCCAUCUUUGUCACAUACUCUGUGGUGGACUGAAUUGUUUCAAUUCUAUAUAUAAAUCAAGAGUAAAUGUUUGC